GCCCCAUUAGCUCAGCUGGAUAGAGCAUCAGUUUCCUAAACUGAGGGUCGUAAGUUCAAGUCUUAUAUGGGGCUCCA
rnacentral:tRNA from 1 species